rnacentral:rRNA from 1 species
CAAUAGCGUAUAUUAAUGUUGUUGCAGUUAAAAAGCUCGUAGUUGGAUUUCUGAUGGGAGCCCUGGUCACUUUAACGAGUGUACUGAUGUGGCGUCCUGUCGUUUCAUGGGGAUGCUUGCUGGUAUUAAGUUAUCGGCUUGUGGAUCCAUGUCGUUUACUGUGAAAAAAUUAGAGUGUUCAAAGCAGGCCAUCGCUGUGAAUACAUUAGCAUGGAAUAAUAAGAUAGGACUGUGGUGCUAUUUUGUUGGUUUGCGUACUACGGUAAUGAUUAAUAGGGAUAGUUGGGGGUAUUCAUAUUCAAUUGUCAGAGGUGAAAUUCUUGGAUUUAUGGAAGAUGAACUACUGCGAAAGCAUUUACCAAGGAUGUUUNCAUUA